CGCGGCGGCGGGGUUCUCGCGAGAAGUGAGGGACUCACGUGACAUCCGCGGACCGUUAACACCCGGCUGCUGCCCUCGAGGCCCCCGGGCUGCUCGCGGGGCCCGGCCCUGGGCUCCCCCGGCGGGGCUGGGCAGCUGCUGCAGAGGCCUUAACAUCAAGGUUUUGACCAGGGAUCCUAGUUUUCUCUGAUUUAAAUUUUCGUUUAAGUAAAAGUAACUCUAAAUUCACAUUUUUCCACGAUUAAAAUGACACUUCAAUUAUAUAUAUAUAUAUAUAUAUAUAUAUUAGUAGUAUUUCAUUUAAAUCACAGAAAAAUGUGGAUUUGGGGUUGCUUUUAUUUUAACCAAAAAUGGUUUUUUUGGGGUUUUUUUCUAAAUCGGAGAAAACGAGGAUCCCUGGUUUUGACCCAGUUGUUGGGCCCAUGGCUGCCAUGCUUUGCCCUUGGCUUCCUGGGAGCCUAGGCAGUAGCUGACGCUCGGGGCCCCUUCCAGUCGCAGUUGGAUUGUGGCGCUUAGCCCCUGCCUCGCCGGACCCCUCAGUCCUUGCUUUUGUCCUUGUCCUCGCCGCUGCCAGCUGGACGCCGCUGGAGGAGUUCUGCCCGCUCCAUCCAUCAGCGAGUCAGGACGGGGCCACCACGAGUCAGCGUGCGGCAUGUGGGGUUCGACACGUGGUGUCGGCGUGUGGCACGGGGACUUGUUCUCUCCAGAAAGACCAAGCAGAGAACAGUGGGAAGGAGACAGUCUGGCCCCAGAGUUUGCAUGUUAUCUUCCUACGUGAAAGAAGAGAGUUACUUGCCAAGGCGAUGGAGCCAUCCACACAGGCUGUUACAGCAGAGCAUCUAAUGGGCAGCAAAGACCCACCGUUGUAGGCACCACAGCAAACUCAUAUACCCUUAAUCUCAGCUGGUGUGGAAACCCUAUUCAGAUGCCUCAUCAUCAGAAAGAGCAAGAAGCUAAGUAGCUUCUACUGCCGUGAUGAAAUGCAAACAAAAAUUGCCUUCCUGUCAGAUCAGGUGUCUUGUGCUCUUCCACCAUUAAUGACACUGCUGCAAAAUUUAAGACCUCACUUAAAAAAUAAAUAAGGCUGUGGUCUUUAAUUUGUUCUGAGACCCUUCCACAUACGCAUCGAGUCCAAACUGGAGCAGUGAUACUUGACUAAGGCUGCAAACAAACAGCUGAAGCAGUAGCUCUAGGUGAACUGUCUUGUUAAUCUAAGUGGAAUGUAAUAGAAAACUAAUGAAAAUAAGCAGCCCUUCUAGCUAUUUAGUUGCUGAUCAAUUUAGUGGAAGCAUGUAUCUGGUAUAGCUUUUCUACAGUCCAAGCCACAUCUCACACCUCUGGGUCUGAGAUGCUCCUACCUCUUAUCAGAUGCGAAAUCUUUUCUCCCCCUUAUACUAACACUUAUAACUCAAAAGUCUGUAGCAGAAUGUAAAUAAGAGAAUAUGCUCAAUAGCAUACAAAAAUUAUUGAUUAAAUUAUUUUCUUUCAUGUUUUACAACUACCCCUUUUUUAAUUUAUUUGAC